rnacentral:rRNA from 1 species
UUUUGGGUCUAGUAAUUGGAAUGAGUACAAUAUAAAUCCCUUAACAAGUAUCCACUGGAGGGCAAGUCUGGUGCCAGCAGCCGCGGUAAUUCCAGCUCCAGUAGCGUAUAUUAACGUUGCUGCAGUUAAAAAGCUCGUAGUUGGAUUUUUGGUUGGUCCACCUGGCCCGGGAUGUGUAGCCUUCGGGGUGCGUACGCUCGCGUGUCGGAAUUCGGCCUUCCAUCCUGUCCAGGGAGCAUUGUGUGUCCUUUACUGUGAUGCGCUUGUGCGAUCUGGAUCAUUUACUUUGAAAAAAUUAGAGUGUUUAAAGCAGGCUUACGCCGUGAAUACAUUAGGCAUGGAAUAAUAAUAUAGGACUUUGGUUACUAUUCUGUUGGUUUCUAGGAGCCAAGUACUGAU